AUGCCAGGCACUACACUAGGUCUAUUCCUGAGAACUUACUACAUGCCAGGCACUACACCAGGUCCAUUCCUGAGCACGUACUACGUGCCAGGCACUACACCAGGUCCAUUCCUGAGCACGUACUACGUGCCAGGCACUACACCAGGUCCAUUCCUGAGCACGUACUACGUGCCAGGCACUACACCAGGUCCAUUCCUGAGCACAGGCACUACACCAGGUCCAUUCCUCAGCACUUACGACACGCCAGGCACUACACCAGGUCCAUUCCUCAGCACUUACGACACGCCAGGCACUACACCAGGUCCAGUCCUGAGCACUUACUACGUGCCAGGCACUACACCAGGUCCAUUCCUGAGCACUUACUACACGCCAGGCACGACACCAGGUCCAUUCCUGAGCACUUACUACGCACCAGGCACUACACCAGGUCCAUUCCUGAGCACUUACUACACGCCAGGCACUACACCAGGUCCAUUCCUGAGCACGUACUACACGCCAGGCACUACACCAGGUCCAUUACUGAGCCCUUACUACGUGCCAGGCACUACACCGGGUCCAUCCCUGAGCACUGACUACGUGCCAGGCACUACACCGGGUCUAUUCCUGAGCACUGACUACACGCCACGCACUACAGCAGGUCCAUUCCUGAGCACUUACUACACGCCAGGCGCUACAGAAGGUCCAUUCUUGAGCGCUUACUACACGCCAGGCACUACACCAGGUCCAUUACUGAGCACUUACUACACGCCAGGCAGUACACCAGGUCCAUUCCUGAGCACUUACUACACGCCAGGCACUACACCAGGUCCAUUCCUGAGCACUUACUACACGCCAGGCAGUACACCAGGUCCAUUCCUGAGCACUUACUACACGCCAGGCACUACACCAGGUCCAUUCCUGAGCACUUACAAUACACAAGGCACUACACCAGGUCCAUUCCUGAGAACUUACUACGUGCCAGGCACUACACCAGGUCCAUUACUGAGCACUUACUACACGCCAGGCAGUACACCAGGUCCAUUCCUGAGCACUUACUACACGCCAGGCACUACACCAGGUCCAUUCCUGAGCACUUACGAUACACAAGGCACUACACCAGGUCCAUUCCUGAGAACUUACUACGUGCCAGGCACUACACCAGGUCCAUUCCUGAGCACUUGCUACGUGCCAGGCAGUACAGCUGGUCCAUUCCUGAGCACUUACUACGUGCCAGGCACUACAGCAGGUCCAUUCCCGACCAGUUACUACGUGCCAGGCACUACAUCAGGUCCAUUUCCGAGCACUUACUACGUGCCAGGCAUUACACGGGGUCCAUUCCCGAGCACUUACUACAUGCCAGGCACUACACCGGGUCCAUUCCCGAGCACUUACUACGUGCCAGGCACUACACCGGGUCCAUUCCCGAGCAGUUACUACGUGCCAGGCACUAAAAGAGGACCAUUCCCGAGCAGUUACUACGUGCCAGGCACUACACCAGGUCCAUUCCUGAGCACUUACUUCAUGCCAGGCACUAUACCGGGUCCAUUCCCGAGCAGUUACUACGUGCCAGGCACUACACCAGAUCCAUUCGUGAGCACUUUCUACGUGCCAGGCACUACACCGGGUCCAUUCCUGAGCACUUACUACACGCCAGGCACUACACCACGUCCAUUCCUGAGCACAGGCACUACACCAGGUCCAUUCCUGAGCACUUACUACACGCCAGGCACUACACCAGGUACAUUCCUGAGCACUUACUAUGUGUCAGGCACUACACCGGGUCCAUCCCUGAGAACUGAAUACGUGCCAGGCACUACACCAGGUCCAUUCCUGAGCACUUACUACGUGCCAGGCACUACACCAGGUCAUUUCCUGAGCACUUACUACCUGCCAGGCACUAAAGCAGGUCCACUCCCGAGCACUUACUACGUGCCAGGCACGACACCGGGUCCAUUCCUGAGCACUUACUACGUGCCAGGCACUAUACCGGGUCCAUUCCGGAGCACUUUCUACGUGCCAGGCACUACACCGGGUCCAUUUCUGAGCACUUACUACGUGCCAGGCACUACAUCGGGUCCAUUCCUGAGCACUUACUACGUGCCAGGCACUAAACCAGGUCCAUUCCUGAGCACUUACGACGUGCCAGGCACUACACCAGGUCCAUUCCUGAGCACUUACUACGUGGCAGGAACUACACCAGGUCCAUUCCUGAGCACUUACUACGUGCCAUGCACUACACCAGGUCCAUUCCUGAGCACCUACGACGUGCCAGGCACUACACCAGGUCCAUUUCUGGGCACUUACGACGUGCCAGGCACUACACCAGGUCCGCACUACACCAGGUCCAUUCCUGAGCACUUACUAUGUGCCAGGCACUACAGCAGGUCCAUUCCUGAGCACAGGCACUACACCAGUUCCAUUCCUGAGCACUUACUACACGCCAGACACUACACCAGGUCCAUUCCUGAGCACUUACUACGUGCCAGGAACUACACCAGGUCCAUUCCUGAGCACUUACUACGUGCCAGGCGCUACAUAGGGUCCAUUACUGAGCACUUACUACAUGCCAGGCGUUACACCGGGUCCAUUCCUGAGCACUUACUACACGCCAGGAACUACAGAAGGUCCAUUGCUGAGCACUUACUACACGCCAGGCACUACACCAGGUCCAUUCCUGAGCACUUACUACACACCAGGCACUACACCAGGUCCCUUCCUGAGCACUUACUACACGCCAGGCAGUACACCAGGUCCAUUCCUGAGCACUUACUACGUGCCAGGCACUACAGCAGGUCCAUUCCCGACCAGUUACUACGUGCCAGGCACCACACCAGGUCCAUUCCCGAGCACUUACUACGUGCCAGGCAUUGCACGGGGUCCAUUCCCGAGCACUUACUACGUGCCAGGCACUACACCGGCUCCAUUCCCGAGCAGUUACUACAUGCCAGGCACUACAAGAGGUCCAUUCCCGAGCACUUACUACGUGCCAGGCACUACACCAGGUCCAUUCCCGAGCAGUUACUACGUGCCAGGCACUACACCAGGUCCAUUCCUGAGCACUUACUUCAUGCCAGGCAGUAUACCGGGUCCAUUCCCGAGCAGUUACUACGUGCCAGGCACUACAAGUGGUCCAUUCCUGAGCACUUACUACGUGCCAGGCACUACACCAGAUCCAUUCGUGAGCACUUACUACGUGCCAGGCAGUACACCAGGUCCAUUCCUGAGCACUUACUUCAUGCCAGGCACUAUACCGGGUCCAUUCCCGAGCAGUUACUACGUGCCAGGCACUACAAGUGGUCCAUUCCUGAGCACUUACUACGUGCCAGGCACUACACCAGAUCCAUUCGUGAGCACUUACUACGUGCCAGGCACUACACCGGGUCCAUUCCUGAGCACUUACUACACACCAGGCACUACACCACGUCCAUUCCUGAGCACUUUCUACACACCAGGCACUACACUAGGUCUAUUACUGAGAACUUACUACAUGCCAGGCACUACACCAGGUCCAUUCCUGAGCACAGGCACUACACCAGUUCCAUUCCUGAGCACUUAGUACAUGCCAGACACUACACCAGGUCCAUUCCUGAGCACUUACUACAUGCCAUGAACUACACCAGGUCCAUUCCUGAGCACUUACUACGUGCCAGGCGCUACAUAGGGUCCAUUACUGAGCACUUACUACAUGCCAGGCGCUACACCGGGUCCAUUCCUGAGCACUUACUACACGCCAGGAACUACAGAAGGUCCAUUGGUGAGCACUUACUACACGCCAGGCACUACACCAGGUCCAUUCCUGAGCACUUACGAUACACAAGGCACUACACCAGGUCCAUUCCUGAGAACUUACUACGUGCCAGGCACUACACCAGGUCCAUUCCUGAGCACUUACUACACGCCAGGCAGUACACCAGGUCCAUUCCUGAGCACUUACUACACGCCAGGCACUACACCAGGUCCAUUCCUGAGCACUUAUGA
rnacentral:lncRNA from 1 species